rnacentral:rRNA from 1 species
AUUGAACGCUGGCGGCAUGCCUUACACAUGCAAGUCGAACGGCAGCAUAGGAGCUUGCUCCUGACGGCGAGUGGCGAACGGGUGAGUAAUAUAUCGGAACGUGCCCUAGAGCGGGGGAUAACUAGUCGAAAGACUAGCUAAUACCGCAUACGAUCUACGGAGGAACGAUGGGGAUCGCAAGACCUCAUGAUACGGGAGCGGCCGAUAUCUGAUUAGCUAGUUGGUGGGGUAAAAGCUCACCAAGGCGACGAUCAGUAGCUGGUCUGAGAGGACGACCAGCCACACUGGGACUGAGACACGGCCCAGACUCCUACGGGAGGCAGCAGUGGGGAAUUUUGGACAAUGGGGGCAACCCUGAUCCAGCAAUACCGCGUGAGUGAAGAAGGCCUUCGGGUUGUAAAGCUCUUUUGUCAGGGAAGAAACGGUUCUGGAUAAUACCUGGGACUAAUGACGGUACCUGAAGAAUAAGCACCGGCUAACUACGUGCCAGCAGCCGCGGUAA